GACGAACGCUGGCGGCGUGCUUAACACAUGCAAGUCGAGCGGAAAGGCCACUUCGGUGGUACUCGAGCGGCGAACGGGUGAGUAACACGUGAGUAAUCUGCCCCUGGCUUUGGGAUAGCCACCGGAAACGGUGAUUAAUACCGGAUACGACCACUUCUCGCAUGGGAUGGUGGUGGAAAGUUUUUCGGCCAGGGAUGUGCUCGCGGCCUAUCAGCUUGAUGGUGAGGUAGUGGCUCACCAUGGCUUCGACGGGUAGCCGGCCUGAGAGGGUGACCGGUCACACUGGGACUGAGACACGGCCCAGACUCCUACGGGAGGCAGCAGUGGGGAAUAUUGGACAAUGGGCGGAAGCCUGAUCCAGCAACGCCGCGUGAGGGAUGACGGCCUUCGGGUUGUAAACCUCUUUCAGUACCGACGAAGCGCAAGUGACGGUAGGUACAGAAGAAGCACCGGCCAACUACGUGCCAGCCGCCGCAGUAAGAC
rnacentral:rRNA from 1 species